UAAGGAAUAUUGGUCAAUGGACGGAAGUCUGAACCAGCCAUGCCGCGUGCAGGAAGACGGCCCUAUGGGUUGUAAACUGCUUUUGCAGGGGAAUAAACCUCAUUACGUGUAAUGAGCUGAAUGUACUCUGAGAAUAAGGAUCGGCUAACUCCGUGCCAGCAGCCGCGGUAAUACGGAGGAUCCGAGCGUUAUCCGGAUUUAUUGGGUUUAAAGGGUGCGUAGGUGGCCUGUUAAGUCAGGGGUGAAAGACGGUAGCUUAACUAUCGCAGUGCCCUUGAUACUGAUGGGCUUGAAUGAACUAGAGGUAGGCGGAAUGUGACAAGUAGCGGUGAAAUGCAUAGAUAUGUCACAGAACACCAAUUGCGAAGGCAGCUUACUAUGGUUUUAUUGACACUGAGGCACGAAAGCGUGGGGAUCAAACA
rnacentral:rRNA from 1 species